rnacentral:rRNA from 1 species
GCCUACGGGAGGCAGCAGUGGGGGAUAUUGCACAAUGGGGGCAACCCUGAUGCAGCGACGCCGCGUGAGCGAUGGAGUACUUCGGUAUGUAAAGCUCUGUCAGCAGGGAAGAGAAUGACGGUACCUGACCAAGAAGCCCCGGCUAAAUACGUGCCAGCAGCCGCGGUAAUACGUAGGGGGCAAGCGUUAUCCGGAUUUACUGGGUGUAAAGGGAGCGUAGACGGAGGAGCAGGUCUGAUGUGAAAAUCCGGGGCCCAACCCCGGAACUGCAUUGGAAACUGUUUAUCUAGAGUGUCGGAGAGGCA